UACGGAGGGUGCAAGCGUUAUCCGGAUUCACUGGGUUUAAAGGGUGCGUAGGUGGGUUGGUAAGUCAGUGGUAAAAUCUCCAGGCUUAACUUGGAAACUGCCAUUGAUACUAUCAAUCUUGAAUACCGUGGAGGUCAGCGGAAUAUGUCAUGUAGCGGUGGAAAUGCUUAGAUAUGACAUAGAACACCAAUUGCGAAGGCAGCUGGCUACACGAAUAUUGACACUGAUGCACGAAAGCGUGGGGAUCAAACAGG
rnacentral:rRNA from 1 species